rnacentral:rRNA from 1 species
AGUGAACGCUGGCGGUAGGCCUAACACAUGCAAGUCGAACGGCAGCACAGUAAGAGCUUGCUCUUACGGGUGGCGAGUGGCGGACGGGUGAGGAAUACAUCGGAAUCUACUUUUUCGUGGGGGAUAACGUAGGGAAACUUACGCUAAUACCGCAUACGACCUACGGGUGAAAGCAGGGGAUCUUCGGACCUUGCGCGAUUGAAUGAGCCGAUGUCGGAUUAGCUAGUUGGCGGGGUAAAGGCCCACCAAGGCGACGAUCCGUAGCUGGUCUGAGAGGAUGGUCAGCCACACUGGAAGUGAGCCAGGGUCCAGACUCCUGCGGGAGGCAGCAGUGGGGAAUAUUAGACAAUGGGGGCAAGCCUGAUCCAGCCAUACCGCGUGGGUGAAGAAGGCCUUCGGGUUGUAAAGCCCUUUUGUUGGGAAAGAAAAGCAGCAGGUUAAUACCCCGCUGUUCUGACGGUACCCAAAGAAUAAGCACCGGCUAACUUCGUG